rnacentral:rRNA from 1 species
AGAGUUUGAUCCUGGCUCAGAGCGAACGCUGGCGGCAGGCUUAACACAUGCAAGUCGAACGGGCACCUUCGGGUGUCAGUGGCAGACGGGUGAGUAACACGUGGGAACGUGCCCUUCGGUUCGGAAUAACUCAGGGAAACUUGAGCUAAUACCGGGUACGCCCUUUUGGGGAAAGGUUUACUGCCGAAGGAUCGGCCCGCGUCUGAUUAGCUUGUUGGUGGGGUAACGGCCUACCAAGGCGACGAUCAGUAGCUGGUCUGAGAGGAUGAUCAGCCACACUGGGACUGAGACACGGCCCAGACUCCUACGGGAGGCAGCAGUGGGGAAUAUUGGACAAUGGGCGCAACCCUGAUCCAGCCAUGCCGCGUGAGUGAUGAAGGCCUUAGGGUUGUAAAGCUCUUUUGUCCGGGACGAUAAUGACGGUACCGGAAGAAUAAGCCCCGGCUAACUUCGUGCCAGCAGCCGCGGUAAUACGAAGGGGGCUAGCGUUGCUCGGAAUCACUGGGCGUAAAGGGCGCGUAGGCGGCCGAUUAAGUCGGGGGUGAAAGCCUGUGGCUCAACCACAGAAUUGCCUUCGAUACUGGUUGGCUUGAGACCGGAAGAGGACAGCGGAACUGCGAGUGUAGAGGUGAAAUUCGUAGAUAUUCGCAAGAACACCAGUGGCGAAGGCGGCUGUCUGGUCCGGUUCUGACG